rfam:Helianthus annuus linkage group 3, whole genome shotgun sequence.
AGACCAUGAUGUGGGCAUUUCCUUAAUAGCUCCUUGAACUUUUCCCAUGUCUCGUACAAUUAUUCUCCAUCGUCUUGAGUGUAGUAGUUAAUCUUGGUCAUGAGUUU